ensembl:lncRNA
UUUCACCUUAUGCUUGUUUUACAUUUAUGCAUUUAGCAGCCACUUUUAUCCAAAGUGACUUACAGUGCAUUCAGGCUAACAUUUUUUGACCUAACAUGUGUUCCCUGGGAAUUGAACCCACAACCUUUUGCACUGCUAAUGCAAUGCUCUACCACUGAGCCACAGGAACACGCUCAUGCUUAUAUGUUCAGAGAUGAAUUGAUUUUAACAUGUAAUGAAGUGGGGGAAAAACCCAGGGAGGAAACGGGAGCUGUUUGCUGCUCUGCAUGAAGGUCAUGAAUGACAGUGGCAUCAUUGAGCUAUACAUAUGCAUAUUAACAUGUGAAUGAUCAUUUCAGGAGAGAAGAGCGCUGGUGCAGUGCUUUGUGAAGAAUGACAUUAAGGGCUUGAUUUAUUGUACGUGAACGAGCCUCACAGCAGCUGUUAGUCAAUGGAGAAUUCAUAAUGAUGCCCUGCACUUCAUCACUGCUUUAACUGAAUGAGAUGAUGGCUGGAACUAAAAAGAUCCGCUUUCUGUUUCAUCUAGAGAGCUGUACAUUGGCCAGUUGUGCAUGCUUUACAUGAUGGAGAGCUUCUUUAGACAUUCAUUUAAUUAUUUAUGAUUUGUGAUUUUUUUUUAUCAACAUGAAAUCAAAAUUGUUUAUCUGUAUUUAUUAAUGCAUGUGGCUUUUACAUGAUUUAUUGUUCCGAGUGAAAAAUGGGAAAGAAGUACGAGGUGAGCAAAAUCUUUACUCAUUUUGCGUGCUCCCUGAGAACAUCAUCCUCACAGCUGCUCUUUCAUCCCAGAUUCAUGUUUUUCCCUCUGCACUCGUUCUUCUUCAGGAACAGACAGAUGAUCAUGGAGGCCUCACUGUUCUGUCUUGGGAUCAGCACAGUGGUGUGUGUGAUUGAUACCCAGGGCAGAAUCCCAAGUGAGGCUCCGACAGCAGGGCCGUACAGGGAGGCAAAGCCAUCUUCUAUAGCUCCUCAUCUGGGCUGAGUGAUGGAGCGCCGGGCGGUGAGGAGGUUAGCACAGAUGCUGCAGUAGAUCAUCCACUAGACUUUACAGUUCAGCACUCAGGCCUAUACAUCAGCAUGUGUGUGUGUGUGAGUAUGUGGGUGGAUGAUGUAUCUGUUUUCAUGUGCAUGUGCUGUAAUUGAGGUCACACAUGUUUAUAGUCACAUUUUAUAAUAACUCAUGUUCUGAGCAUCUAAUUUGCUUCUGUUUGUCUCAGUCUCAUGCCUUUCGUCUUGUCCAUGAGUUCUCCUCCACACAUUCUUUAAUAUUUGCCUGCUG